UGUAACAUAUGAAGUAUAAUCUGAACGAGCUCUUGGACUGAACUGUACUGCUAAUAAAACUAACAUGGUAAAAACUCUCCCAGCUUGUCGUCCCUGCGUUUAGGUUUUGGAGGUGCUCAUAAAUUAAAACUGUCCUGAUGUUUUCUGGGUUGAAGUCAAGGGAAGUGGUCAGGGAGACCAUCAGGGCUUCACCACAGAACAAGACCUUGAGGAUGUGAGCAAAGAAACCUGGGAAGAGCCCUCAGUGUAGCACAACUAUAUCUGUUAUAUAACUAUACUAGUAUCACUGAGUAUGUCCAGGAGAUACAAGAACAGAUGAACCAUGUGACUGCAGCAACACAAGCAGCUCAACCCCAGGAGUUCCAGCCUGGCAAACAAGUGCUCCUGCUCCUGCUCUUGGUCUUGCUCUUGCAAUUGUCAGUCACCUGCAAGUUCCUGGGCUGCUGGCUUCAGACUUUGUAAUGACUUCCUGAUGCUCAACAAGGUUUUGGAUUACCUGGAGGAGUGACUAGGGAAGACCUGCUGUAUCUCCACCUUGGACCUCACACCAGGUAGGAAACCUCAAGAGAAGGCAUGGUGAAAGGUUACCAAUGUCCCACAAGUGACACGUAGGUGGUAUUUUGGGGUUGGUUUGGUUCUAAAGAAGAUUCAGGUCUGUCUCUCUCAGACCUAACCUGGAAAGGCCAGUGGGAUCAGGUACAGAGGUCUGAGGAAGCAGAGCAGGUGGUUUUCCAUUCAAGAAACUUUUAUUAUCAUUUCAGCCAUUUAGAGCUGCUACAGUACACAACCACCUGGAGAACAUCCUCCAAAAACAUGGUGCUACACGAAACCUAGAACCAGAGAAGACCAGCACAGUAUUCUGAGGAAAAGACAGCAGACAUGCAGAAGGACAUGAAGAAAAAAACCCCAAAGGAACUGGGAACUUUCCACAUGUCUUGACUUCUGCAUGGUUUCUGCUCGACCUGUCAGGAGACCUUUCACAGAUCUCUCGCUGGAUUCAGGGAUCAUUACACAUCUAAUUAUAACUAGCAGCUUGCAGACGCAGAGCAGCUCCUGAGCUCAGUCAGACAACUCCAGGCUGCUGCGGUGUGGAGCUUCUUUUCCUGUGGAUGAAGAUGACGGCAACUUGGAGCUGUCUGAGUUCUCCACCUUCAACUACUGGAAGGAGCCGAUAGCCAGGAUCGACAAGCUGGACUUCAGCCUGCUGCUGCUGUGAAGCCCCGCCCCCACACACUGGGGUAAACCCCGCCCCAUUCUCACAGCUCCUCCCCUGACACUACACCGCCUCCUGAUUACAGAUCUGUUUUUCACCUGUUUUUGUCCACACAUAAUGUAUUAUUCUAAAUCUCAGUGUUUCAUUUCUAAAUCUUUUGUUAAACCUGACGGACUGGAAUGUGAUUAAAGGUCAGAAGUGUUUUCUCUCUGA